CCCGCUGAACUUAAGCAUAUCAAUAAGCGGAGGAAAAGAAACUAACAAGGAUUCCCCUAGUAACUGCGAGUGAAGCGGGAAAAGCUCAAAUUUUAAAUCUGGUGGCCCCGCCGCCCGAGUUGUAUUCUGGAGAAGCGUCUUCCGCGCCGGACCGUGUACAAGUGCCUUGGAACAGGACGUCACAGAGGGUGAGAAUCCCGUCUUUGACACGGACCCCCGGCGCUCUGCGAUGCGCUCUCGAAGAGUCGAGUUGUUUGGGAAUGCAGCUCAAAACGGGUGGUAAAUUCCAUCUAAAGCUAAAUAUUGGCGAGAGACCGAUAGCGAACAAGUACCGUGAGGGAAAGAUGAAAAGCACUUUGGAAAGAGAGUAAAACAGUACGUGAAAUUGUUGAAAGGGAAACGCUUGAAGUCAGUCGCGUCGGCCGAGACUCAGCCUUGCCUCGGCUUGGUGUAUUUCUUGGCCCGACGGGUCAGCAUCAAUUUUGCCCCUUGGAUAAUGGCUAGGGAAAUGUGACACCUUUAUAGGUGUGUUAUAGUCUCUCGUCGCAUGCAAGGGUCAGGAUUGAGGAACUCAGCAUGCACCUUCGGGUGUCGGGGCUUUUGUCCACGAUACAUGCUUAGGAUGUUGGCGUAAUGGCUUUAAACGACCCGUCUUGAAACACGG
rnacentral:rRNA from 1 species